rfam:Chlorocebus sabaeus isolate 1994-021 chromosome 6, whole genome shotgun sequence.
UGGCCGACGGGGCGCGCGCGGCCGGGAGGGGCGGGGCGGACGCAGAGUCGCGUUUAGUCUAGCGCAGCGGUCGCGAGCGCUCUGGGUAUCCUGUGCUG